UAACUUAUGUGCUAAUAUUUUGUGGCACCUAUAUUUUGACGUGCACCCAGGUUGCUUAGGAGUAUGUUGUAAGGUUUCACUGCCAUACAACAAUAGUUUCAAUUUGAUUUUAUAGAACUUCAUUACAUGUCCUCAACAAAAUAUACUGUAUCAUCUCAACUAAACACAACAAAUAUGACUACAGAAUAAGAGUUUGGCUAAUCAAGUUCUGGUGGGAUGUAACUAGGGCUGUAGAAGAAUCACCUGCUUCAACAUAAUAGUGGUGGAUAACAAGUUAAGUUAAUACAAACUACCAGAGCAGAGCACAUAGAAGUCUCUGACUGUCGGGUAAAUUUUUUUUAUUAACUUGGGAAUUUACUCACACAUUCAUGCACUAACAACGAAUUACAAGGUUAUUCAAUUUGGAUGAAACUCAAGGAUCUACAGAUAGAAUUGUGGGAACAUAGUAAGUCUUCUGACCAAAUUGUAGCAUAAGAAUUAAAUAUAAUAGUAACAAUAGUAUAUACCUUUGCGGAUAUAUGGCACCUAAGUAUGUAAUGCAUGAACAUUUCUCGGUUAAGUUUGAAGUAUUUAGUUUUGGAAAUGUAGAUGAUAUUGCAGACCUUGCAAGUUGUGGAAGUUUUAGUUUUCACAGAGUUCAUGCAUCGAUUUCUUAUACUGAAUGCAUUCAGUUAGCAUACUUGAUCACAUUCAUAAUAUAAUGCAUCAUUUGUAUCUGAUUAAACUUAUGUUUCUCAUGCCCAGAAGAAUUGGCAAAAAGGGACUGCAACACUAAUAUUAUCGAUCCAGUACUGAGAAAUAAUCCAACAUCAAUACGCGAAAUGAUAAGAUGUAUUAACAUGGGGUUACUAUGUGUGCAAGAAAAUGUUACAAACAGACCUGCCAUGACUUCUGUGAUACUUAUGCUUAACAGUUUUCUCUCACUCUGCAGGUGCCUUCCAAGCCUGCCUUCUUUGUACCAAGUAACGUUGAUCCAGAACUACCAUUGCUUACACAUGAUCCCAACUCAAGAGUUAGUGGCAAAUCCGAUUAUUAUGUCAUUCAUCCAUUGACAAUGCUUCAAUCACCGAUACAUAUCCACGACGAUUAAUAGUUAAUUACUAUCUAUAUUACAUUGCUUUGCUGCUUUCUACUGUGAUUUGUGUGCAAGGAUAGUUCCUCAUGCCGAGAAAAGGUAUUGGUUCUUCAGAUCUUCAUAUAACUAUGUUUAACAGUCAUGGAAAUGUUAUGGUUGUUUAUUCCAAUUUUAGAUUUAGGCUUCAUGUGGUGGCUUACGAUCAAACUGGAAAAUUGGAUGUUAUAAUCAGUGAUCGUGAGGUUUACGAGCCUCAUAGGUUCAUAGGUUACAGAGCCAGAGAUGUUAUACCGGAGGUGAAAUUUGUUUUUCCUUUUAGAUAACAAGUUUUGUUUUUGUUGUCAAAUAAUUUGAUUGUUGAAAGAAUUCUUUUCUUCAAAACAAUUCCAGGGAGCUCUUCCGGCUUUCUUUCCAAAUCAGUUGAGGCAGUUUACAGACAAACAUUCACAAUCAUGCUGCAAAUUUGUGAUGAGAACGUUAAGAAGAAUGUUAAAUUGUACUCAGUAAGAAACAUCUGCAUGUGAUUCAAACGGGACAACACAGUGAACUCAGGAAAAACAGAAGAACAAAGGGCAUCUACCAGGUGUUGCCCAACUGAAACAACAACAUCGUACUAUCAUCUUCAAGGCGCUACAGAAGACAACUUAGACUCAUCAACCGUUACUCAGAAACAGUAAAAUGGCUGCAAAACUCUUUUGCUCUGUCCAUGAGUACAUGGGUGUAAUUUUAUUUGUGUCUGCACUAACAAACAACAGUCUGUAAUUUUAUCCAAAUAUGUAUUUGGAUUAACUUAUGUUAUCUUUUGUUAUCAGACGUAUUGUGCAUGUUCUUCUCUUAUAGUCAUAUAUAUAAUCUUUUAUAUAGCCCAGCGGAGCGGGCAACAAUACUAGU
rnacentral:lncRNA from 1 species